rnacentral:lncRNA from 1 species
AUUGAAGGUUAAUCUUGGGCGAAUUGAAGUUUCUUUUUGGGUUUCAGUAGUUUAACAAAUGUUGGAAGCUAGUGUGAAGCUGUCUACAGUUCAAUUGCGAUCGUUUGUUCUGUUAUUGGAGACUACAAUUUUGUGUUGGAAACUUGGCAAAUGGAUUUUGACUUUUUAUAUGAUGCGAUGAUCACCUUGUUUUUCGUGGCAUGAGAGGAUUUGCAUACUGUGCUGUUGCCUUUGAUCCUCUUACUUAGCUUCUGCUGUUCACUGGCUUGGUAAAAAUCCUAACUAAGAUGGGAAGGAUUAGCCAAUAAAGAUGUAGACUAGUCAGUGGACUUUAAGCUUGAUUGAAAUUCUCAUUUAUGAAAAAUCCAAUUGAGAGUAAAGCAAUGGCACUGCCAGUUAUCUCCUUUGGCAGUGGGUAUGAUCUAUCUCUACAAAUUGUCUGAUUGAUCACAAUCUCUACUAGGAAUCCUGUCUUUCCUAGGGAUUGGUUAAUUCUAUAGUGCCACUUGCGCUUGUAUUUAGAGCGUCGGGAUCCCGAUCCCUAUUACACCCUUGUGGUUAUUUGAGGUUUUAUUCUUUAUGCUACCCUUACCUCCAGAUGGUGCUCUAACUCUGUGGAUGAUCAUGUGGAAAACCUUUCGGUAUCCUGAGGAUAUUAUGUGGUAUAUAAUUAAGGAAAAUGUUUUGGUAUUUCUUGGGUAUUGGUACUCUAUAUGUUUAUUAUAUUUUGUGUGUAAAAUUAUGAUUUUUGAAGUUGAAGAUUUUCUGUUUAGGAUUAGGGUAUAGUGUCAGGGGUUAGAGUUUGAUAUAUAGGGUUUAGGAUUUAUUGAUUUAUAGUUAAAAGUUAGAGUUUGUGAUACAAUUUUAAGUUUUGAGUUUAUGAUAGUGUUUGAGGGUUAGGAUUUAGUGUUUAGCGUGUUAGCACUAUUUUAUAGUGUUUAGAGUUUACUAUAAGGACUUUAUGAUUUAAUUUUUGAAUUUUAAAUCUUAAUAAUAUAAAAAAUUUAAUAUAAAAGGUGCCGGUUCCUCCAGAGUAUCAAAACGCUCCCAUAUGAAAACAUUAAAAUCCGGCAUCGGAAUUCUCGAAAUCAUUUGUAUUGCCAGGAUCAUAUCCUAACUGGUGUCUUUAGCUCACUCUUUCAUGAUGGAUGACAGGCUAGUUUGUUAUACCGGUGGGAUCUGCUUCCGCCGUCGGCAGCUAUAUGGAAGAUGACUAGAGUUCUUUGUUUCGGACUAGAUGGAUCUUUCUUUUUUUGGGCCCAACUUCGUUAUUGGCAAGUGACUAUGUGUUUCCGUUGUUUGUGAAACCGAGAAUCCGGGUACCCGCCCGGAUUCGGCCCGGUUUGACCGGUUAUGUGUUGAUUGACCAAAUAGACUACCAGAUUCGGGUGGACCCGGUGCCCGUUGGGCUCAGGGCCGGGCUGGGUUUCGGGAGGCCCAUAACCGACCCGGAUACCCGAACAAAAGCGCCACCACCACCGCUUGUACCUCGAGUUUCGAGAAGGCCUUCCUGCCCUCUGCCUGCCUUCCUGCCUGCUUCAUUUCUUCCAUCUCUAUUCUCUCGUCUCUCUCUCGACUCCCGAUCGAGUUCUCUCUCAAUUCAAUUCACAGUCACAGUAAAUCAGUAAUUGCGCUGCUUCCCAAAAUCCGUCGAUUCCAAUAUUCUAAGUUCUUAGCCGUUAGUGAUUAUGAUUCCAGUCCAGAUGCUUUGAACUUGGGGGGGUCGAUUGAUCGAUUCGAGUUCUACUUCUAGUCUUCAACUUCAGUAGUUCAGUUCUUUAAAAUGGUCGACGAAGAACAGGCUGCAUGUGGAUUCAAAGAAAGCUUCCAGAGUCAGAGCAAAGUUCUUGCAUCUUCUUGGUAAGUAUCGAUCAUCCUGCAUCUUCUUGGUAGGAUUUCUGUUUAAUCUUCUCAUUCUUCGUCCUCCUCUUUUCGUCUAGGGGUGAUUUGUAAUAAAUCAGUCGCAAUCAACCAUCAAUUCAUAAUUUCUUCGUCUAGGGUUUCUAUUUCUGACAACUGAGUCUCUGAUUUCGUACAUGCAGCUUCAUCGUUGUGUUCCAGAAGAUCAUCAUCGACACUGUUUCUAGACGAGGUGAACUUAUGUAGCUGUAGUCUUUUUGUAUUGUUUCCUGAAUGUCACUGGUAAUGGACCAGUUCCUGGACCUGAUGGUCAGUUGGUUCCUGGUAGGCAAACAAGUGAUGUGUGGGUUGAUUUCACCAAAGUAUGGUACAAAGGAGAGGUGAAAGCUCAGUGCAAGCAUUGCAAGAAGCAUCUGGUUGGUCAUUCCAACAACGGUACAUCACACCUUAAGAACCAUUCGUCCACCUGCAUCCAGAAGAAGAUUCAAGAUGGCUCACAGAAGAUGAUCGGACCGAAUUGGAAUGUGAAAGGAAAAAAAGAGAUGUCUUCUAUCAAUUUCAAGAGUGAAGUUUCAAGGCAAGAGCUGGCAAUGGCGGUUGUGAUGCAUGAAUAUCCCCUGAGCAUGGUGAAACACCUCUACUUCAAGAGGUUUGUGACGAGUCUACAACCUCUGUUUCAUGUACCAUGUCGGAAUACAAUGAAGAAGGAGCUACUUAACUUGCAUGAGCAUGAAAGGACGAAGAUUCAGCGUAUCAUUGAUCGUAAUUUGGGAAAGGUGGCUGUAACUACAGACCUUUAGAUAGCUUCUAACCAAAAGAAGGGCUACAUGGCUGUUACUGGUCAUUACAUUGAUAACAACUGGACUCUUCGUAGCCAUUUGCUCAGGUUUGUAAUCUUUUCUAGGGUCUUUGUUUUGCUUUAAAUUGGUUUCAGAAUUCUAAUGUACCUUGUUUAUGUUUGCUGGAUUUCGUAGGUUUAUUUACGUUCCUGCUCCGCAUACGGCUGAAAGGCUGGCAAGCAUCUUGCUCGAGUGCCUCAUGGAUUGGAACAUCGAUUCCAAGAUCAGUACCAUCACCUUGGACAACUGCUCGACCAAUGACUCUAUGGUUGAAAAGGUGAAACCUAAACUGCUUUCUAAUUUCUUGAUUAGGGAGGGUGCUCUAUUACAUAUGAGGUGUGCAGCUCAUAUACUUAAUCUGAUUGUGAAAGAUGGCCUUGCUGUGAUAAAAGAUGGUUUAGUUAAAAUUCGUGAAAGUUGUGCAUUUUGGCUUGCUACACCUAGAAGGUUAGAGAAGUUCCAAGAAACGGCUAAGCAAUUAAGAAUUGUUUCUCAGAACAGAUUAGUCCUAGACUGUCCAACUAGGUGGAACAGCACGCAUGCCAUGCUAGAAACUGCUAUACCUAACAUGAAUGUGUUUAAGAGGCUUGCUCAACGAGACCCUAGUUAUACUAGUUUGCCCGAUGACACUCAAUGGCAAUUUGCUUCAAUUAUAUCUGAAAAGCUUGGUUUUUUUACUCCGAUUACCAAAUUGUUCUCGGGGAAUAACUAUCCUACGGCCAACCUUUUCUUCUCAAGGGUUUGUGAUCUGAAACUGAAACUGAUGGAUUGGAUGGAUGAUUCUAAUCCUGUCAUUCGUAGCAUGGCUACAUCAAUGGAUAUGAAAUUUCAGAAAUACUGGAAUGACAUUCAUGAUUUGUUGAGUGUUGCUGUGGUGCUUGAUCCAAGGUGCAAAUUAGAAAUCGUUGAAUUCUAUGCUGCAAAGUUUGCUAGGGAUGAUUAUGAACCAGACUUGCAAUCUUUGGGUGUUAGACAGCUCUUGUCUCAAUUGGUUCAUGAAUACCAGAAUACUACUAGGAUAGUAGUUAAUCAGUCCUCCACUGCAACUCCCAAUCCUGAUUCUGGAUCAGGUUCUAGUGCUGCAUGUUCUGAUUUCGAGCAUUUUGUUAGAGAAAGGAAGAAAUCGAGAAUGACUGUUGUUCAGUCUGAGUUAGAUCAUUAUCUAGCGGAUGAUGUAGCCCCAAAUACUAAGGACUUUGACCUAUUAGGGUGGUGGAAAACUAAUGCUGCUAAGUACCCUACCUUAGCCGAUAUGGCAAGGGAUUUUCUUGCUGUCCCCAUCACCUCUGUGGCCUCUGAAUCAGCCUUCAGUUCAGGGGGUCGACUGCUCGAUCCUCAUCGUAGUAGAUUGCAUCAAAAAAAUGUGGAGGCAUUGAUGUGCACUCGAUCUUGGAUGCAAGAUGACUUAAAGACAGGUAAAUUUUCAUCUAAUUCUGAAAUUCACCAUCUGACUUUUCACUUCUAACUUACUGGAUUCUUGUUGUAUUUCUCAGAUAAGUCGUUCACUAAGGCUCAAGGUGGUCAGUUGGAGGGGUUAUUCAGUUUGCUAGAGGUUAAUGACGUUGUAGCAGAAGAAGAAGCUGAAAUUGAGGGUAAGAACUUCAUGAACCUCUACUUGAACGUUCUGUUUGCACAAAAUGAUUGGUUAAUGAUUAGUCUUGUUCCUGAAUCAGAACACGAACAACCGAUGGACGUUGAAGGCUCUGUAAUGAAUGUCAUUGAUUGAAUUUUGAUGCUGCUGCUGAUUGAGGUUGAUGCUGCAUUGCUGCUGCUGAUGUUGGUAGUUUAGAAUGUUGGAGGUUCAUGUUGUUUCGUAACUCAUGUUGUUUCCUUGAAAUUCAGACUUUGAUUCCAGUUGUUCCCGUUGUUUAUGUUUUCAGACUUUGAUUCAUACUUAUUUUCCUUGAACUGAGACUUUGAUUCAUACUUGUUUUACUUGUUUUCUUGGAAGUUGUUGGUUAUGGAUUGAGAAAUUUUUCAAUGUUAGUGUUUUGUUAUAGUCAACGGGCUUUGCCCGUUUACCCGUAGACCCGCCAGUUCUGGGUUUCGAUAUUUAAUUUUACCCGUACUGAUAAUCCGGGCAUGCAUUCUAAAAUCCGGAUAGAUUACGGACCGGAUUUCGGGGGAUAUAUAUCCGGACCCGAUGUACCCGAAUGCCACCCGUAACGGUUACUUACACCCCAACCCCCAACCAACCCUUUCCCUAUUCCUCCCUACUCCUCUAAACCUCCUCCCCUUUCUCCCUUUUUCUAUAUUUUUUACAUUAGUUAGGUUUGUGUGGUACAUUGGCAUCUCCUUUCACUUGGACUGAGAAUCCGGUCGGGUUUGAUUGGUUUCUAUCCGGUAUGGUCCGUCAAAUCGGAUUUUAGAUACCUAAAAUCCGGUCAAUAUAAAUAAUGCAUCGGGUUUGAGUUUUUUAAAAAGAGUAAUUCCAGGUUUCGGGUUUUUCAAGUUUAAAAUCAAACUCGAUCCGGUCCAAACCCAAUCCAUUAAUCAUCAAACAAAUAUUUACUACACAGGUUCACAAAUUAUGUUCAACAUCACCUGGAAAACAUCAACAAUACAGAUAACCCAUCACCUGGAAAACAUCACGUCUUCCAUCUUCCAUCACUAAUCUACCCUCCUCUCCCCCAUUUCUAUUAUUAAAUCAUCAAACCCAUCCAAUUAGCCUCCGGCCACAAUAAAUAGCCCCAUACAAUCAUCAUCAUUAAACCUAUAUAUCAACAUCAUCAAGAAAGAAUGCGACUUGACGAUGUGGGGAGAAUCAGUGCGGCAGAGGAUCUCCAUCUCCCGGAAAAUCUGGCGGGAGAUUUUGUUGUCGUCGCGAACUUUGUAAACCGUGCCGCCGUUGCCAUGUCCGAGGACGCAUAGCCUUUUUAGGUCGGAGGUGAUGAGGGAGGAGAAGGAAUUAGUGGUGGUACUGGUGGUGGUGGUCGCGGCGGAGGAGGGAUGGAGAGGUAAAGCGAAACGAGGACGACGUUCGGUGAGUUCCGGGAGGUGAAGGUUGAGCUGAAGGCGUUCAUGGAACGACCAUAGAAUUUGGAGGAGGCGCAAAAAGCUUUAUUGGGUAGGGUUAUUAUAAUUUUGGGCUCUAUUGGGUCAGACUUUUCCCUUCAGAUCCGUCGGCCAAAAUGAAAAUAAAAAAUUGAAUUUGUAUUUUUAUGUGUUUACCCGGUCCAACCCAGAAAAAUGAGUUAAAACCAUCCCCUACCCGAUUGUUUAAGUGGACCGGGUUUAGGUUUUACAUUUAGAUUAAUUAAAAGCCUGAAACCCGGUUUGACCUGACGGGGUUUGGCCCGGCCCGGCCCAAAUCUCAGCCCUACCUUCCACGGAACUCCACGUUAAGAAAAAAAGAGUCGUUGGAAAGUGGUCUGCGAUAGGAGGAUUCGUUUUAUUCAAUCCAAGUCCAACAUUCGUUCGUUUUGAAUGCGUUUAGGAAGUUGAGCUUGAUGACUCAUCUCUUCCAAGAACUCGUUUUCUCCCUUUGAAUCAACCUUUGAACUGCUAGUUUUAAUUAACAAUUAGAGUAACUAAAAUCCAAAACCAAUUCUGUUAGUCUAAACCGUAUUGGCAAGUUUGAGUAGAAGUAUAACGAGAAGAACCUUUGGACACAAACGACACUUGCGUUGUCAAAUUAACCAUUAAGUUAUUUCAGCGAUCACAUACUCCAACCCGUCGUCAGUGAUGAUCAUCUUACCCCAUGGUGAACGAGGAGCUGGAUAAUAACCGUCAUCCAACAUGGUAUCAAUAACAACAAUGAUUAAAUAACCACACCUACCACUGAAACCCUAAUACAAAAACUUCUUUUUAGGGUUUAGAAUUGAAUAGAAGCUUCCAAAAAGUGAAUACAACCAAACAAAACAUCCACCAACAUACUGGUGGAACUCCGCAACAUGUGAUCCUUCGCUUUUUCUCACAGAAAACGACAAUCAAUCGAAAUAAACAAAUGUAGAGUCAGGAGAUUCACCUGUUUCGAUAUCUUGUUACUACAAAAAGCCCUCAAAUACCAACAAAAGCCUCUUCCAAAGUCUGCCGCCGUUGUACCGUCCGCCGCCGUUCUUCAACCAAAUCUGCCUUCUUUCACGAGGAAAUCUGUCGCUGUUUUUCAACCACAAACCAUAAUUUUCAAUCUAAAAGCCGAUCUUCUCUAAAUCCGAGCCAAUACCACCAUCUUCUAUUAACCACAAUUCAUUUAUACAGAAACUAGGUUUUUGUGUUAAAGAACAUUUGUGAUAGUUCAAAGAGAGAUGGAAUAGUUUCGUGGGAGAUUAAAAGGUAUAUGGAAGAGAUAAGGGUAGGGAUUUGUGGGGAUAAGGUUUCAAUAAUUGGGUAGUGAAAUGUUGAUUGGGUAAGUGAAAAGUUCAGUCAGCGAUAAAAAUUUCAUGUCAGUGAAUUUUUGAUAAAGGAUUUACGAAUUUCAAACGGCGUGACAUAAUACUUUGAAAAGAUUGGAUUGUUCGUGAUAUAGAUACAAUUACCUGUAAACUAAUGAAAAAGUGGAAGAUACAAUUCAAAAUGAAAGACAUGAAAUUAAUACAUGAAUACCCAUGAACCUUAUUCAGAAGCCGUUGGCUCCUUAUUCUAGAAGUAGUAUAUUUUCAAUUUCCGUAUGGGAUAGAUGAUCAAAUCAUCUGUACGUGCAGAUGAUUCCAAUGGACGGCCGAGGCUGGCCAAAGUUGAUCUGACGACUAGCGAUAAAAAUUCCAAAAGAUUCAAGUGGGAUGGAGAAAGGGAAAUUUAGGAAUCAAAUUAAUUUUUUAUCUCUCCCUUUGUUCCUUCCGACCAAUGUUUCCGGACCGGAGAUCAAACCGGUGAGAUUACUGGUUCAGAGUUUGAUGGUUUGACCAGGUUUGAUCGUUCACUAAACCGGGUCGAACAAUUUUAAUUAUUAAAUAAUAAAUAAAUAGAAUUGAGCCGGAUCGAAUAACUUGUAAAUUGAACCGAAUCAAACCGACAAUAUAUAGAGUUCAAUAUCAUAAUCUAAUUUUUAAUAAAUAUAGUUAUUGAAUAAUUUUGUAAGAAGUUUCAAACUAUAUAAAUAAUUUGAAGUUUUUUAUUAAUCAAAUUAUUGAAAUUUAAUGUAUAUAUUAUUUAAUUUAUAAUAAGAUGCCAUAUUUUAAUGUUAAUUAGUUGUUAUAAUAUUUAUUAUUAUCAAUUAAAUGUAUAAUUUAAUCAAAUAAUGAUAUUAGUAAAGAUGGUUAUUAUCCUUUCUUUGUCCUUUAGAGACUAGGAUUUGAAUCUCAUUAACCACAUUGUUUUUAAAAA